CUUGGUAAAUUUUCUGAAAGAAAAUUGUUUAACUUAAAAAGGNAAAAUUGUUUCAACUGUGACUUGUUACGCUGUACGCUCUCUGUAUUUUAAUCCGCUGCGCUAAACUCUUUUAAAAAUUAACCCCUCCGAUACCAACAUCUUCAUGUUUUAUGACACUCAUGGUUGCGUCAUUGUUUGUGGAAUUUAAAGUUAACUCUGUUUAUUCUUUAUGAGAUGAAUAUGAAGUUUCUUUUUCCUUGAUUUUUUCAGAAUUGUGAUUUUCAGAUAUUAGUUGAGGAAGAAGGAAAGUUGCUCCUGGAGUUUGAAGAUGCUGAGGAAAGUGAAUCAUCAUGGUUCAACUAUUUAAUCUGUCCAAUACAUCUGUUUUACCUUAAACGGAUGUUGAGAUCCGUUUUACCUUAAACGGAUGUUGAUAUCCGUUUUACUUUAAAUGGAUGUUGAGAUUCGUUUUACCUUAAACAGAUGUUGAGAUUUGUUUUACCUUAAACGAAUGUUGACAUCCGUUUUACCUUAAAUUGAUGUUCAUAUCUGUUUAAAGAUUUACGUGUUAAUUUAAGUUAGGUCAAUUACAUACCAAUACGCACCUUAGUCUUUUCACCUUCAACCACCACCGAGACCUUCGAACUCUAGCAAAGUUGCAACGAUUCCUCUCACCACCACCCACCUGUAACUUUUUUCACUCACCAAACUCUCGCACCACACAAUGAAAGAAAGAGGAUAAAAAAUUAAAAAAAAAAUAAAAAUAAAAAUACAAUGAAACAAAAACAAUGAGAAGGAAUGAAGUAGAACAUGAGAAAAAAGAGAUUGUGUACUCCUACAUGAAUAGAAGAUUAGAGUUAAAAAAUAUUAAUCUUAAAAGAUAGAUUUUACUUAUGGAUAAAAGUGGAAUGAAGAGGUGAAGGAAGAAAAGAAUACGGGUGGAAAGAAUAAUGACUAUUAAUAUACUGACUUGUGAUAUAUUAUAUAAUAAUCAUUCACAAAAACGAGAUAACACGAUUUUUUAUAAAUUUUAA
rnacentral:lncRNA from 1 species